CACUUGUGAGCUUUGGGGAGGGUUGGGUAUAUGCAACAUUCCAAAUAAAAUAAAAUAGUUCCUAAACAAUAAUAGAAUUUCUAUAUAACAUAAACUUCCUAAUUAAUGAUAAUCUAAAUCCCAAUUUUACAAUGACUAUAAUUUUGAACUUCCAAUACUGCAUCAAGUGUGCUUGAAAAAAUGUUUGCCUUCAGUUUUGUCCUGUUCGAUUGAUAAUAAUGUGGUUUAAUUAUUGAUGAAUGCAUGCUAUUCUGUUUUGUCUGAGG
rnacentral:misc_RNA from 1 species